rnacentral:rRNA from 1 species
UACGUAGGGGGCAAGCGUUGUCCGGAUUUAUUGGGCGUAAAGGAGCGUGUAGGCGGCCAGGUAGGUGGGUUGUGAAACUGGAGGCUACAACCUUCGAGAGGUCGACCCAAACCCCCUGGCGUAGGAGUCCGGAAGAGGAGAGUGGAAUUCCUGGUGUAGCGGUGAAAUGCGCAGAUAUCGGUAAGGAAGACCAGUGGCGAAGGCGGGUCUCUGGACAGUUCCUGACGCUGAGGCACGAAGGUCAGGGAGCGAAACCGGG